GAUGAAUUCCGACGACUCGGAAUCGCCGUUAAAUCGCCGAAAAACUGAGCCAAAACGGGUAUUGGGCACCAAAAAUGGCUCAUUGUCUGUGACGCCGGGCGAGAAGAACGAGGGACGCGAUAGGGCGUUUUCCAUGUAUUCGGUAGGGUUUUUGGGGGCGAAAAUGGGAAGUUAAAGUGAAAAAAAGUAAUUUUGGAUGGUUUUAGAAAUUUUGAAAAAAAAAAUUUUUUGGAAAACUUUUUUUCCAAAAAAAAUUUUUUUUUUCAAAAAUUGUUUUUUUCAAAAGUUUUAAAUUUUCCACAUUUCCAGGUUUCAUCGGACAUUUUACGUGUUUCUGGUUACACUCAACAAUUCCGAAGCCUCCUAACCGCUAGGUUCUCCCCGAGACGGGAAUCUACUCCGGACGUGACUGUUGAAGCUCCCGAGGAUGAGAAUAAAAACG
rnacentral:sRNA from 1 species